AGGACUAUGUCUCCUGUUUUUAACAUGUCUUAGUUCUCUGUAGUUCCUUGUCUAGAAUUGAGGCUCCAAUAGAUUCCUUCCACAUUAACAUGUCUGUUAAUGGCCUUUUUCCCCUUGUUUUUACAUCCUAACCAAAGCUUCUCCUCCCUCCCCUCUUCCCAGUUCCCUCACACCCCUACCCCCAGCCCCAUCCACUCCUCCUCCACUGUCUCUCUUCAGAUAAAGGCAGGCAUCUCAUGGAUAUCAGCAAGCUUCGGUGAGACCAGGCAGCUCCGCUCCUCCACCACGGUUGGAAGUGAUAAUCCUGCAGGAAGAAUGGGUCCCAAAGGCCGGUAAAAGAGUCAGAGACAUCCCCUGCUCUCACUGCUAGGAGCCCCCCAAGAAAACCAGGUCACACAACUGCAACACAUGGCCUAGGACCUGGUGCCACACUUUUCCUGGGAAACCCCCUCAAAGCUCUGCUUGACUUAGCAAAUAGUCUCUGCUGCUCUGAGUCUUAGCUUGCUCCUUUCCCGCCAAUCACAACGAAACAGUACUAUGAGAACAUCAUGUGACCAGAAAGCAGAUCGAGACAAGGAGCCAUGGAUUACUUCCUCCUAAGAGCCCAUCUAACUGUGAGUUCAUUGAUGGAUUAACCCAUUGAUAAAGUUCGUGUCCUCACAG